GAUGAACGCUGGCGGCGUGCCUAAUACAUGCAAGUCGAGCGAACGGACGAGAAGCUUGCUUCUCUGAUGUUAGCGGCGGACGGGUGAGUAACACGUGGAUAACCUACCUAUAAGACUGGGAUAACUUCGGGAAACCGGAGCUAAUACCGGAUGAUAUUUUGAACCGCAUGGUUCAAAAGUGAAAGACGGUCUUGCUGUCACUUAUAGAUGGAUCCGCGCUGCAUUAGCUAGUUGGUAAGGUAACGGCUUACCAAGGCAACGAUGCAUAGCCGACCUGAGAGGGUGAUCGGCCACACUGGAACUGAGACACGGUCCAGACUCCUACGGGAGGCAGCAGUAGGGAAUCUUCCGCAAUGGGCGAAAGCCUGACGGAGCAACGCCGCGUGAGUGAUGAAGGUCUUCGGAUCGUAAAACUCUGGUAUUAGGGAAGAACAUAUGUGUAAGUAACUGUGCACAUCUUGACGGUACCUAAUCAGAAAGCCACGGCUAACUACGUG
rnacentral:rRNA from 1 species